ACCAAAAUAUCUAAAGAGAGAGAGAGGAAACCGUGAAAGGGAGAGAGGGAAGAAAGAAAACUUUCCCAACAUCCAUGGAGGCUUUGAAGAUGAUUGAAGAGGAUUGAAGGAAAAGAAAGAAGAUCACCCAUGGGACUUGGAGGAAUUGAAGAGAGCUAAGAGAUAGACAAGGAUUGAGUUAGGUCAAGACGAGGACAUCGUUCCACCGCUAUCAGAGACCUACCACUGUGAGUCAUCGGGGAUUGACACUAGAGUUGUACCAAGGUUCGCCUAUCUGCCAAGACACCUGGGGCAUGUCUCCACGUGGAGGCCUUAAUUUAUUGUUGGGAGUCAUAUAAAUUAGUAAGUCUUAUGUGAGUGUGUGUGAGAUCUAUAUAAAUUCUGUGGUUGUAUAUGAAUAUUUGGAAUGUAUUUAAAUGCUUAAAUCCAA